rnacentral:rRNA from 1 species
CUACGGGAGGCAGCAGUGAGGAAUAUUGGUCAAUGGGCGAGAGCCUGAACCAGCCAAGUAGCGUGAAGGACGACGGCCCUACGGGUUGUAAACUUCUUUUAUAAGGGAAUAAAGUUCGCCACGUGUGGUGUUUUGUAUGUACCUUAUGAAUAAGCAUCGGCUAAUUCCGUGCCAGCAGCCGCGGUAAUACGGAAGAUGCGAGCGUUAUCCGGAUUUAUUGGGUUUAAAGGGAGCGUAGGCGGGCUUUUAAGUCAGCGGUCAAAUGCCACGGCUCAACCGUGGCCAGCCGUUGAAACUGCAAGCCUUGAGUCUGCACAGGGCACAUGGAAUUCGUGGUGUAGCGGUGAAAUGCUUAGAUAUCACGAAGAACUCCGAUCGCGAAGGCAUUGUGCCGGGGCAGCACCGACGCUGAGGCUCGAAAGUGCGGGUAUCAAACAGGAUUAGAUACCCUGGUAGUCCGCACGGUAAACGAUGAAUGCUCGCUAUGGGCGAUACA